UGGCUGAGGACGAACGCUGGCGGCGUGCUUAACACGUGCAAGUCUAACGAAGAGCGAUGGAAGCUUGCUUCUAGCUGGCUUAGUGGCGAACGGGUGAGUAACGCGUAAUCAAACUGCCCUUCGGAGGGGGACAAGAGUUGGAAACGACUGCUAAUACCGCAUACUAUCUGACCUCGGCAUCGAGGAUAGAGGAAAGGUGGCCUCUACAUGUAAGCUAUCACUGAAGGAGGGGAUUGCGUCUGAUUAGCUAGUUGGAGGGGUAACGGCCCACCAAGGAGAUGAUCAGUAGCCGGUCUGAGAGGAUGAACGGCCACAUUGGGACUGAGACACGGCCCAUGACUCCUACGGGAGGCAGCAGUGGGGAAUCUUCCGCAAUGGACGAAAGUCUGACGGAGCAACGCCGCGUGAGUGAGGACUGCCUUCGGGUUGUAAAGCUCUGUUAGUCGGGACGAAAGGCCUUCUUGCGAAUAGUGAGAAGGAUUGACGGUACGGGAAUAUAAAGCCACGGCUAACUACGUGCGAGCAACCGCGGUAAUACGUAUGUGGCAAGCGUUGUCCGGAAUUAUUGGGCGUAAAGCGCGCGCAGGCGGAUAGGUCAGUCUGUCUUAAAAGUUCGGGGCUUAACCCCGUGAUGGGAUGGAAACUGCCAAUCUAGAGUAUCGGAGAGGAAAGUGGAAUUCCUAGUGUAGCGGUGAAAUGCGUAGAUAUUAGGAAGAACACCAGUGGCGAAGGCGACUUUCUGGACGAAAACUGACGCUGAGGCGCGAAAGCCAGGGGAGCGAACGGGAUUAGAUACCCCGGUAGUCCUGGCCGUAAACGAUGGGUACUAGGUGUAGGAGGUAUCGACCCCUUCUGUGCCGGAGUUAACGCAAUAAGUACCCCGCCUGGGGAGUACGACCGCAAGGUUGAAACUCAAAGGAAUUGACGGGGGCCCGCACAAGCGGUGGAGUAUGUGGUUUAAUUCGACGCAACGCGAAGAACCUUACCAGGUCUUGACAUUGAUGGACAGAACUAGAGAUAGUUCCUCUUCUUCGGAAGCCAGAAAACAGGUGGUGCACGGUUGUCGUCAGCUCGUGUCGUGAGAUGUUGGGUUAAGUCCCGCAACGAGCGCAACCCCUAUCUUAUGUUGCCAGCACUUUGGGUGGGAACUCAUGAGAGACUGCCGCAGACAAUGCGGAGGAAGGCGGGGAUGACGUCAAAUCAUCAUGCCCCUUAUGACCUGGGCUACACACGUACUACAAUGGGAGUUAAUAGACGGAAGCAAGAUCGCGAGAUGGAGCAAACCCGAGAAACACUCUCUCAGUUCGGAUCGUAGGCUGCAACUCGCCUACGUGAAGUCGGAAUCGCUAGUAAUCGCAGGUCAGCAUACUGCGGUGAAUACGUUCCCGGGCCUUGUACACACCGCCCGUC
rnacentral:rRNA from 1 species